rnacentral:misc_RNA from 1 species
AAGUCGUAACAAGGUUUCCGUAGGUGAACCUGCGGAAGGAUCAUUAAAGAAUUCGGCUUCGCGGCCAAGUUCUCACCCUUUGUAUACCGAAACUAUGUUGCUUUGGCAGGCCCCUUGCAUUUCGUCCGGGCCUGCCAGAUGUUAAUCAACCUAGAAUAUCUGCUGUCUGAGUACUAUACAAUAGUUAAAA